rnacentral:rRNA from 1 species
UGUGACAUACCUACUGUUGCUUCGGCGGGAUUGCCCCGGGCGCCUCGUGUGCCCCGGAUCAGGCGCCCGCCUAGGAAACUUAAUUCUUGUUUUAUUUUGGAAUCUUCUGAGUAGUUUUUACAAAUAAAUAAAAACUUUCAACAACGGAUCUCUUGGUUCUGGCAUCGAUGAAGAACGCAGCGAAAUGCGAUAAGUAAUGUGAAUUGCAGAAUUCAGUGAAUCAUCGAAUCUUUGAACGCACAUUGCGCCCGCCAGUAUUCUGGCGGGCAUGCCUGUCUGAGCGUCAUUUCAACCCUCAUGCCCCUAGGGCGUGGUGUUGGGGAUCGGCCAAAGCCCGCGAGGGACGGCCGGCCCCUAAAUCUAGUGGCGGACCCGUCGUGGCCUCCUCUGCGAAGUAGUGAUAUUCCGCAUCGGAGAGCGACGAGCCCCUGCCGUUAAACCCCCAACUUUCCAAGGUUGACCUCAGAUCAGGUAGGAAUACCCGCUGAACUUAAGCAUAUCAAAA